rnacentral:rRNA from 1 species
CCUACGGGAGGCAGCAGUGAGGAAUAUUUGUCAAUGGGCGCGAGCCUGAACCAGCCAAGUCGCGUGAGGGAGGACGGCCCUACGGGUUGUAAACCUCUUUUGCCGGGGAGCAACGGGCGCCACGUGUGGCGUCACUGAGAGUACCCGGAGAACAAGCAUCGGCUAACUCCGUACCAGCCGCCGCGGUAAUACGGAGGAUGCGAGCGUUAUCCGGAUUUAGUGGGUUUAAGUGGUGCGUAGGCGGAUCGUUAAGUCAGUUGUAAAAUUGAGGGGCUCAAACACUUCCCGCCAUUGAAACUGGCGUUCUUGAGUGGAAGAGAAGUAUGUGGAAUGCGUGGUGUAGCGGUGAAAUGCAUAGAUAUCACGCAGAACCCCGAUUGCGAAGGCAGGAUGCCGGCUUCCGACUGACGCUGAAGCACGAAAGCGUGGGGAUCGAACAGGAUUAGAUACCCCAGUAGUC